AAGUCGUAACAAGGUUUCCGUAGGUGAACCUGCGGAAGGAUCAUUACCUUUAUAAGGGCUUCAUUGCCCGGUCAUGGGAUUUACCCCUGGCUUCGUCCUUGUCUUUUGCGUACUUAUUGUUUCCUCGGCAUGCUUGCAUGCCGGCUGGACAACCAUUAAACCUUUGCAAUUGCAGUCAGCGUCUGAAAAAAAUUAAUAAUUACAACUUUCAACAACGGAUCUCUUGGUUCUG
rnacentral:misc_RNA from 1 species